GCCACUGUGGACUAUUGGUUAAGUCGACUAGCCUGUCAACUAGUAUAAGAGGGUUCGAUCCCCUCCAGUGGCC
rnacentral:tRNA from 1 species